rnacentral:rRNA from 1 species
CAUGCUGUAAACGAUGUUCAUUAGGUGUAGGGGGUAUCGACCCCCUCUGUGCCGUAGCUAACGCGUUAAAUGAACCGCCUGGGAAGUACGACCGCAAGGUUAAAACUCAAAGAAAUUGACGGGGGCCCGCACAAGCAGUGGAUCAUGUGGUUUAAUUCGACGAUACACGAAAAACCUUACCUGAACUUGACAUCUGCCUGAUCCUCAUGGAAGCAUGGGGUGACCCGCAAGGGAGGGCAAGACAGGUGG